rnacentral:rRNA from 1 species
UACGUAGGGUGCGAGCGUUGUCCGGAAUUAUUGGGCGUAAAGGGCUCGUAGGCGGUCUGUUGCGUCAGGAGCGAAAACUCGGGGCUUAACCCCGAGCCUGCUUCUGAUACGGGCAGACUAGAGGUAUGCAGGGGAGAACGGAAUUCCUGGUGUAGCGGUGAAAUGCGCAGAUAUCAGGAGGAACACCGGUGGCGAAGGCGGUUCUCUGGGCAUUACCUGACGCUGAGGAGCGAAAGUGUGGGGAGCGAACAGG